rnacentral:rRNA from 1 species
UUCCGGUUGAUCCUGCCGGAGGUUACUGCUAUCGGGGUCCGACUAAGCCAUGCGAGUUGAAGGGUAAGCCCUCGGCGUACUGCUCAGUAACACGCGGAUAACCUGCCCUUGGGUCCGGGAUAACCCCGGGAAACUGGGACUAAUACCGGAUAGAUCAGAGAUACUGGAAUGUCUCUGGUCCAAAACUCCGGCGCCCAAGGAUGGGUCUGCGGCCUAUCAGGUAGUAGUGGGUGUAACGUACCUACUAGCCAGCGACGGGUAAGGGUUGUGAGAGCAAGAUCCCUGAGAUGGAUUCUGAGACAUGAAUCCAGGCCCUACGGGGUGCAGCAGGCGCGAAAACUUUACACUGCGGGAAACCGCGAUAAGGGGACCCCGAGUGCCACCUAGUGCUGGCUGUCCAGUUGUCCAAAUAACAACUGUUAGCAAGGGCCGGGCAAGACCGGUGCCAGCCGCCGCGGUAACACCGGCGGCCCGAGUGGUAGCCAUUAUUAUUGGGUUUAAAGGGUCCGUAGCCGGCUUAUUAAGUCUUUUGGGAAAUCUGGCGGCUCAAUCGUCAGGGUCCAAAAGAUACUGGUAGGCUUGGGACCGGGAGAGGUGGGAGGUACUCCAGGGGUAGGGGUGAAAUCUCGUAAUCCUUGGGGGACCACCGAUGGCGAAGGCAUCCCACCAGAACGGGUCCGACGGUGAGGGACGAAAGCUGGGGGCACGAACCGGAUUAGAUACCCGGGUAGUCCCAGCUGUAAACGAUGCUCGCUAGGUGUCAGGUGCGGUGCGACCGCAUCUGGUGCCGCAGUGAAAACUUGAAGCGAGUCACCUGGGAAGUACGGUCGCAAGGCUGAAACUUAAAGGAAUUGGCGGGGGAGCACUACAACGGGUGGAGCCUGCGGUUCAAUUGGAUUCAACGCCGGA